rnacentral:rRNA from 1 species
GUAGCUGGUCUGAGAGGAUGGCCAGCCACACUGGAACUGAGACACGGUCCAGACUCCUACGGGAGGCAGCAGUGGGGAAUAUUGGACAAUGGGGGCAACCCUGAUCCAGCAAUGCCGCGUGUGUGAAGAAGGCCUGAGGGUUGUAAAGCACUUUCAGUGGGGAGGAGGAUUGAUUGGUUAAGAGCUGAUUAAUUGGACGUUACCCACAGAAGAAGCACCGGCUAACUCCGUGCCAGCAGCCGCGGUAAUACGGAGGGUGCGAGCGUUAAUCGGAAUUACUGGGCGUAAAGGGUGCGUAGGUGGUUUAUUAAGUUAUCUGURAAAUCCCUGGGCUUAACCUGGGCAGGUCAGAUAAAACUGGUWGACUCGAGUAUGG